GUUUCCAUCCACAGCAGAGAGGUGGAAUUCUCAUGGCUCUUGGACCCAUGGCUGGCAUUAUAUCUCCUAGUGAGGCAUCAACAUACCUCUUCCUGUUGCAAGGUACUGGAAGUGCUGAGGUGCCAGAAAGAGGAUGGAGCUGCCACCAGAAGUUGGCAACAGCCGAACAUUGCUAUGACCUAAUGCUGGAAGGACAGAGGCAAAGAUGGAAUCACUAGAAUCUAAGAGCUUUCAUCACCCAGCAGAAGAUGAAAUGUAAAAGAAGGAAAUGAUGAUGAGGAUGGCAGUGAUCAAUUACUGAGCCCAUUAAUACCUUCAGGUAUGGUUGUCACCUCUUCACGUGCCAGUAACACCUUGCUCAUUGACAUGGGUAUUGAAACACAUCUCCCUAAUUUCCAUAUCUUUGGUUUGAAAAAUAUAGUUUUAUAUAUUUGAAAAUCUCUUAGUUUUAUGUAUUUAAUAUAACCCCUCAUUUCCACAGUUACUUUGUAGAAAAUACAAGACUUUACUAAUCUUGUGUUCAGAAAAUAUUAAUAAAUUUUUGCCAUUACAAACGGCAAAGUCCCCUUGGUAUUUGACCUGGACUAUGAGAAGCCCAUAGUCAUAAAACAUAUAAGCCAUACAAGCUAUAGAUUAUCUAGCCCUGGUGUCCUUCGUUGCACACUCUAGAAUACAGUAGAAUGCUCUUAAGACACUCUAACUGUCCAACCAUGCAAACUGCUCUUCAGUGUAGUCCCAUGAGACAUUGGGAAGCAUUAUGCAAAUAAAGCACACUUCAUUGAAUUUUACUGAGCCCCAUCCUUGUUUUCCUCUUCUUUAUGGCUACUAUGCAAUGACCCUGAAUAAUCAGAAUGUGACAAUUUAUUUUGAUCAGUUCACUCUUCCAGGAGGAAAAUACCUGCCACAUAGUAGUAACCAAGUUGGCCAAAAUAGGAGUGUGACAGGUAAGGUUUUUUUUUCUUUUCUGAAAUUUCACCCGGUGUGUGUUCCAUGUCAGACCUGAGCUUCAUUUGCAGGUCACCUCUGUUUGUCCCCUUGGGAAUUAUUUUAUAAACUCCCAUGCUCAACUACAAGUAGGUCAAGUCUUCACCAGCAGCAGCUUCCUGUCUUUAUUCUGAUGGUUUAACAAAGGCCAAAUCUGUUGGCCUUUCUGAAAAAAGACACCUCCAACUUUGGCUGACUCAAUCAUAAUAAGUAAGAUAAAUUAAAAAUUGAUUAUUUGCAUAUAAAAUAAUAUUUUUUGCUUAGUAAGGAAGCUCCUUGAGCAUUCUUUAGUUCUUUUAAAUGUUGAUGGUUUACCCUAUACUAGGUACUCUUCUAGGCUAUGGGAAUGCAGUAGUGAACCAAACUGACAAAGCCUAUGUUUUCUUAAAGUUUAUAUUCUAGUGGACAAAACCACAGUGAUCAAGAAAACACACACGUAUUGGGUUUCCAAGUCAUGAAAAGUGCUCAGAGAAAAGGAGAGCAGGGGUAAGGACUGGGAAGGGACAGGAUAUGGGGAGCUGUAGCAGUUGUGACCUUUAAGCAAGGUAAUGAAUGGAGUCAGAUAGCAACAGUCAGGUGAAGAACCAAGGCAAUUGGCAGGCCCGCAGGUAAGAGAGGGCCAGUACUGGUCCCACAUGCAGGUCUAUAGAGCACUAAAGGAGGGCCAGGGCACCUGGACCACGUCUUAGAAGGCACUGCCCAAUGAAGAUCAACAUAGGGUAAAAUCAGUUAAUUACUGGAAAAUAAUUAAUUAAAACAGAUUUUGAUACAUUAGAGAAUAAAAAUUGAAAACCAAGAGACCUUAGGACUCUAGUUGCCUAUUUAUGCACGGAAAGGGCAAGAUUGAUGUAGUGAAAUAAUUUGUCAGUAAAUAUUUACUGAAUAUUCAAUAUAGAAACUUUCACUUGGGAACAAAAGGUGUAGUUCAAAAUCAUUCUGCACAAGUGACGACUAUUACCAUCUGUUGGUGGUGAA